rnacentral:lncRNA from 1 species
CUUUCCAUACUCCUUUUCCUCCCGUGGUCCAGGCCCUUUCUCCCCAGAGGCAAAUGACAAGAAAGGGUUCUCUAGAUUAGCUUGUCCAUCUUUCCUUGGAGUCUCUGAGGGAAGGGAUCUCCUCACCCUGAGGCUUCCCUAAUGGGACUUCCUGAGGAGCCUAGACCCAGAGCUGGACCCAGGGCCUGCUGGUGAAUGGCCCUCCAAAUCUUAAGGCUCUCUUGAAGCACUUGCUGCUGCAGUGGGCAAUGGUCAAUCAACUGGCUCACCAAAUACCACAUGGGAUUACUGGUUAAUGCAGCUCGAGUAGAGCAGCAGCAAUAAAUUGAGGCAUUCUGGUGUGAGGCCUGGGAGUGCGGUGGUGAAAGUAACUCUUCCAGCCUCUCCAGCUGAUGGGCCAGCUUCAUUCUGCCCUGAGGGGCCCAUGGAGGCUCGAGAACUAACAAGUCCCUUAGUACACGGUGAAUGCUCUCCAUCCACCUGGUUCUAAUUCUUAGUCCCGAUUCUGCCUCUAGGACACCGAGUCCUGGUGUCUGUGCAAAAGAGUUGCCUGCUCCAGAUGGAUGGGUACAUUGAGUGCUCAGCUCAUUUCACCCUUGGGGCUUCCUGUGAAGCAAAGUGGAUUAAAGAGUCGUCCCCCCCCCACCUCCCACAGUUACUCCUAAACCCCAUACCUGCAAGCAUGAUCCUAUUUAGUGUCCACAGAGGCCAUUAAGGAUCUGAAGAUGUGAUCAUCUUACAACGAGGACAGUCUGUAAUCUACUGCCAGGGUCUAAAUGAGAAAGGAAAGAAGCUCUAAGCCAGACACAGGGAGAAGGCCACCUGAGACCCAAGAAGACCAGAGACGUGUACCAUAAGGAGGAGCCACCUGGAGCUGCAGAAGUGAGGGAGGCUCCUGCAGCCUGUGCCCCUCCCUCACAUCCUUGGUCCUCAGAGCCCUUACAGCUAGAGGGGUCCUAUUCUGGAUAGCUCAAGCCCCAUCAAGCAACUUUGACACCCCUCUGCAACUAACCGGCUGUCUAGCCCAGCCCAGGCCAGCUAAGGUCACUCUGCAUUCUGUAAAGAAAAGACCUGCAGCCCAACGUGAUAGUGUACCAGUUUGUUUCUCUGUUGAUGCAAUAAAACAUUGAUCAAAAGCAACUAGAGAAGGAAGGGGUUUACUGGGCUUGUACUUUGAUAUUACAGUCCAUUGUAGAAGGGAACAGGGACACUGAAGGAAUGCUGAUGGAUCAGUCUGCUUGUUUUAAAAACAAUAUAACCUGGGACUGCCUGCCCAGGAGUGGUGUAGCCCACAGUGGGCUGGGCGGUUUCACAUCAACCAUCAAUCAAGAACAUGCCUCCACAGACUUGCCAACAGCCAAUCUAAUGGCAACAUUUUCUCGAGUGAAGGUCCCUCUUACCAGAUGACUCUGGCUUGUGUUAAUUUAAAAAGCAAAGCAAAGCAAAGCAAAAGCAUCUCAGACCUAAAUGAUUCUAAUGAGGGGAGGCAAAGGGUCCCAGUGAGGUCACACAGCCACAGGCUUAGGGCAGACUGAGCCUGGCCACAGACUGAACCUGGCCAAUUUGCUCAGGUUGCAUUCCAAGUCUGCAACCAAGAGCUGUCGCUGCUCCUAUAGGCCCAGACUGUUCCUAGCCGACAUCUCUCAAAGUUAGGUCCUUCUCUGUGGAGGAAACCUUCUCUGUUUUGAGGCACUGUGGCUUCCUUGCUCCUAACUCCAUAGCCUUGUGGCUGCCAUUUUGUACUUCUUUCAGGACAUGAAGGUCAGGGUCACAUCUCACUAGGUUCUGUGUAUUAUCCCAGCUGUGACCCUGGAUCCUGCCCAGGGUGUGCUCCCAGAUGUGAGCCAUGCUGGCUGCAUCCUGCGCGCGUACUUUGGGUGGAAAGCAACACAGGAGCUUGGACCGAAGGUUCUUAAGCUCAAUGACUUUGGUCAACUAUGUGCUGCACUCUCCGAACUCAGGACCCAGCGACUAUACCAGUAGCUACUGCAGUGCUGGCCUAGGCUUGGGACAUUCAGGGUUAGAUGGUGCCUUCCUUACAGUGCUGGGAAGGGUUGGGAGAUGUGGCUUCCCACUGUCUCGCCAGUCACAGCCCAGCUAUGUUUUUGCUAAUGUUAAUUUCUCAGGUGUCUGAAUGGGGGAUGUGUAAACCAGCACCCACUUGGCCAUUUGACUCAUCUGAGUAUUGUCAUCUGAUAACUAU